rnacentral:miRNA from 1 species
AACAACCUCAUCAAUUGGAAGGAUUUCCUUCUAAUCGAUGAGGUUGUCAACCUCAUUGAUUGGAAGUCAAUGAGGGUAACAACCUCAUCGAUUGGAAGGAAUUCCUUCCAAUCGAUGAGGUUGUU